GCAAGGUCACACAGCCUGCGUGGGGCACAGUGGGGAGCAGAAGCCAGGCCUCCAGCCGGGACAGGGGUUCCCUGUUCCACACCCUGCCCGGAGCAUCUCACAUGUUGUCUGGGAGGUUGGGAGUUGCAUCUGAGGAGGGGUCCAGUCCUUGAAACUGCCCUUGGUCCCUGCGAAGUUUUCUUCUGAGGAGUGGACUUUACUCCACCCACCCUCCAACUUCCUCAUUUCUUUUCAGGCAGUGCUGGAGACCUGGGGCUUCAACACCAACCAGGAAAUCUUCCAAGAGGUUGUCGGCGGCUUCCCCAGCCAGGCCCAAGUCACCGUCCACUGCCUCAAGAUGCCCAAGAUCUCCUGCCAAGACAAGGGAGUCGUGGUCAAUUCUUCAGUGAUGGUGAAAUUCCUCUUUCCACGCCCAGACCAGCAACAUUCUGUAGCUUACACAUUUGAAGAGGAUAUCGUGACUACCAUCCAGGCCUCCUAUUCUAAGAAAAAGCUCUUCUUAAG
rnacentral:lncRNA from 1 species